AAGGAAUAUUGGUCAAUGGACGAAAGUCUGAACCAGCCAUGCCGCGUGAAGGAUUAAGGUCCUCUGGAUUGUAAACUUCUUUUAUAUGGGACGAAAAAAGGUCUUUCUAGAUCACUUGACGGUACCAUAUGAAUAAGCACCGGCUAACUCCGUGCCAGCAGCCGCGGUAAUACGGAGGGUGCAAGCGUUAUCCGGAUUCACUGGGUUUAAAGGGUGCGUAGGCGGGUAGGUAAGUCAGUGGUGAAAUCCUGGAGCUCAACUCCAGAACUGCCAUUGAUACUAUCUAUCUUGAAUAUUGUGGAGGUAAGCGGAAUAUGUCAUGUAGCGGUGAAAUGCUUAGAUAUGACAUAGAACACCCAUUGCGAAGGCAGCUUACUACGCAUAUAUUGACGCUGAGGCACGAAAGCGUGGGGAUCAAAC
rnacentral:rRNA from 1 species